UACGUAGGGUGCAAGCGUUAAUCGGAAUUACUGGGCGUAAAGCGUGCGCAGGCGGUUUUGUAAGACUGUCGUGAAAUCCCCGGGCUCAACCUGGGAAUGGCGAUGGUGACUGCAAGGCUAGAGUUUGGCAGAGGGGGGUAGAAUUCCACGUGUAGCAGUGAAAUGCGUAGAGAUGUGGAGGAACACCGAUGGCGAAGGCAGCCCCCUGGGCUAACACUGACGCUCAUGCACGAAAGCGUGGGGAGCAAACAGG
rnacentral:rRNA from 1 species